UACGAAGGGGGCAAGCGUUGUCCGGAUUUAUUGGGCGUAAAGAGCGUGUAGGCGGCCAGGUAGGUCAGCUGUGAAAACUCGAGGCUCAACCUCGAGACGCCGGUUGAAACCAUCUGGCUAGAGUCCGGAAGAGGAGACUGGAAUUCCUGGUGUAGCGGUGAAAUGCGCAGAUAUCAGGAGGAACACCGGUGGCGAAGGCGGGUCUCUGGGCAGUAACUGACGCUGAGGAGCGAAAGCGUGGGGAGCGAACAGG
rnacentral:rRNA from 1 species